GUCAUUGAAUUAAGCAGUGAGUCAUGAAAACCACAUUCUAAUCCACUUAAAGAGAAAGGGCAGCUGCCAUACAAGCAGCAAGGGCAGGAGUGAGCUCAGCGAUCUGGAAAUUGCAUUGAAACAAUGUAGCACAGAACAGACGGGUGUAAAUGACAAAAGCAGAUGGAGAUCCACAUACGGGGAAGCAGAAGCCAAGACACAGAGAGAUAAAGGGAGAGGCUGGGAAGGAUACACAGUGGGACUGAGCACAAAGCCAGGGGUGCAACAAGACCAACCGAAAACAGUUCAAUCUUGUCUGUUACCUGGUGCUCCUAAUCCUUCUCUAUGAGCUGAGGUACGAGGAACUGCCUCAACUGACUCACACGCGGAACCAGGUGUUAGAGAUCUCAAGACGUCUGUCCCACCCCAGGACGGAAAGAUCGGACGUCAGCUCUCAGGUUGCUAGGGCCCAAUUUACCCUAGCAACAAUUUUCCGCUUUCGGACGUCCGUGACGCUGAGGAUCCACUUUAAAU